CCUGACAGCACUCCUCAGGCGUUACUUUGAAAACCAAGGGACAACCAACUUCUCUCUGAGGCUGGCCGCUAUCAGACGUGCUAUGGAGGCUCUGACAUCCUCAGACAGUACCUCCCUCAAUUACCUCACCCACGCUGGGAGGAUGGUGUUGAGUGGACUAUCC